rnacentral:sRNA from 1 species
ACAUGUGAGGGUAAUCUGGCUGAGACAUCUGUCAUCUUAUUGAUCAUCAAGAUGGACUCUGCUGAUCCACCCUGCUUGGCCAGGGUCCAACUUUCCCCUCACUGCCCUACCUACAUUCCUCCUGAAGAGGACAACCUCUAUCAGAAGACUGCACAUGUCUCUGUACUCCUCUGCUGGAAGCUCCAAACAAGCUCCUGUUUGUUUGAAACAAGAUCUGUCUACGUAGGCCUGGACAUCCUGGAAAUCUGCUAUGUAGACCGGGCUGGGAUUAAGCUCACUUUAUACAAGAAACAUUAACAGGAGGCUGGAAAGAUGGCUCAGCAGUUCCU